GAAGACACACUGUCCACACUGUGUUUGAUAAGGUAACAUGAGGCAGGAUCCCUUUUCACUGCUGUGUCAGAAUAUUGAACUCAUACCUGGGCAUC
rnacentral:pre_miRNA from 1 species